UAAGCGGAGGAAAAGAAACUAACAAGGAUUCCCCUAGUAACUGCGAGUGAAGCGGGAAAAGCUCAAAUUUAAAAUCUGGCAGUCUUUGGCUGUCCGAGUUGUAAUCUAGAGAAGUGUUAUCCGCGCUGGACCGUGUACAAGUCUCCUGGAAUGGAGCGUCAUAGAGGGUGAGAAUCCCGUCUUUGACACGGACUGCCAGGGCUUUGUGAUGCGCUCUCAAAGAGUCGAGUUGUUUGGGAAUGCAGCUCAAAAUGGGUGGUAAAUUCCAUCUAAAGCUAAAUAUUGGCGAGAGACCGAUAGCGAACAAGUACCGUGAGGGAAAGAUGAAAAGAACUUUGGAAAGAGAGUUAAACAGUACGUGAAAUUGCUGAAAGGGAAACGCUUGAAGUCAGUCGCGUUGGCCAGGGAUCAACCUUGCUUUUGCUUGGUGUACUUUCUGGUUGACGGGUCAGCAUCAAUUUUGACUGUUGGAAAAAGGUCAGGGGAAUGUGACAUCUUCGGAUGUGUUAUAGCCCUUGGUUGCAUACAAUGGUUGGGAUUGAGGAACUCAGCACGCCGCAAGGCCGGGUAACUUGUUACCACGUACGUGCUUAGGAUGCUGGCAUAAUGGCUUUAAUCGACCCGUCUUGAAACACGGACCAAGGAGUCUAACAUGCCUGCGAGUGUUUGGGUGGAAAACCCGAGCGCGUAAUGAAAGUGAAAGUUGAGAUCCCUGUCGUGGGGAGCAUCGACGCCCGGACCAGACCUUUUGUGACGGUUCCGCGGUAGAGCAUGUAUGUUGGGACCCGAAAGAUGGUGAACUAUGCCUGAAUAGGGUGAAGCCAGAGGAAACUCUGGUGGAGGCUCGUAGCGAUUCUGACGUGCAAAUCGAUCGUCAAAUUUGGGUAUAGGGGCGAAAGACUAAUCGAAC
rnacentral:rRNA from 1 species